rnacentral:rRNA from 1 species
AUUGAACGCUGGCGGCAGGCCUAACACAUGCAAGUCGAGCGGAGCGGCGGACGGGUGGGUAAUGCCUAGGAAUCUGCCUGGGAGUGGGGGAUAACGUCCGGUAACGGGCGCUAAUACCGCAUACUAUCAGUUGAGCCUAGGUCGGAUUAGCUAGUUGGUGGGGUAAAGGCCUACCAAGGCGACGAUCCGUAACUGGUCUGAGAGGAUGAUCAGUCAAACUGGAAAUGAGAAACGGUCAAGAAGCCUACGGUAGGCGGCAAUUGGGAAGAUUGGACAAUGGGGGAAAGCCUGCUCAAGGCAUGCCGCGUGUGUGAGGAAGGAAUUAGGUUUGUAAAGCACUUUAAGUUGGGAGGCGUUCCCAUCAGAAUAAGCACCUGGUGACUUCGUGCCAGCCGCCGCGGUAAUAC